AAAAACGUUGGGUUGUUUUUUCAACCCAACUGCUGGGUUGAGCCAGUUGGGUUAUUUUGUUGGGUUGUUUUAUCAGUGUUGGGUAGUUUUUGUGUAACCCAACUUGUUGGGUUAUAUGUUGGGUAAUUUUGAAGCAGAGCCAACUUAAUAGAUACAUAUAGCUGUUUCUCAAUAUUACUUUCUCUAGUCCACAAAAUGUAUUUUAAACAUAAGUUCAGGCGAGAAUAUAUAUGUAUAAUGUUCAAAUUUGCAGUCGGUUUGUAAAGUGAACGCCAAUUUUAAAGUUUAAUUUCAAAAAGUCGGAAUGUUACCGGCGCGACCACCGGGUGUCAGUGUUGUUCUUCCCCAGAGAGAACUUCUCCCUUCCCCCACACAGACACGUCAGACUCCUCCUGCCACAGCACGCUACCUGACGCGGGAAUUUAACAUCACUUCAGGAUUCAUAAACGGUUUUUCAUCGACUUAUCUUUGAUUUAUUUGAAGGAAAAGGUUUGUGUCAUUGUUUUUAAUCAUUUAAACUAUUUCUGAAUGCAAAAGUAUGCAAAAUGAUGGUUCACAAGACAUAACUCUUAUUAAAAGUUUUAUUAGCGUCCGUUGGCUAGUCUGUAAUGCUCAGUAAAUCUAUAUGCUUGCUUUUAAAUGAUUUAAAUAUUUCGUUUGAUCAAACGUUUUAUGAAAUAUGUCUAAAAUGGCUUGUUUUAAUAAUUUUAGAAACGUUAGAAUGUAACGUAUUCUAAUGGUUUAGAAAUUCAGUUUAAAACAGAUAAAGUUAAUAUGAGGAGGAAACGUGUAUGUUUUAAAUAAAUAAUCGUUUGUUGUAAAAGUUGAAAUCAAACUGAUGCUUUUAAUAUCAUGUUUAGAUCAUGAAACUUUAGCCUUGAGUUCACAGACAGGGUGUGAACUCUCAUUUGGUCUGUAAGUUACAGACAUUUUUAUCUUUUUCAAAUGUUUUUGAUGAUGCCCACUUAAAUCACAGUUUUGGCUCUUUUCCUCAGACCCUGAUGGAUAAAAGAUGGAUAUUUUUUUCCUGGAGAAGCUAAAACAAUGUCACUUUGAGGUUCUGAUACCAGCUUUUACAAAGUUAUUUACAGAGUUCACAAGACUUCUCUGUGUUAUUCCCUGACCAUGUCGAAAAGCUAUUUGAAACUUGGGCACUGCAUUUUACAGACAGAAUCCUGCAACUUCCCAGCCAAGAACCAGGAGCAUCAACAAAUCACCUACAGAACCCCAUGAUGAUAUUCCAACUCCUGUCUACAAAAGUGGGAAGAAAAUCUUAAGUUUAUGU